ACUGCACUUCAGCCUGGGCGAUAGAGUGAGAUUCCGUCUCAAAAAACAAAAAACAAAAGAAGGGUUACCUUGUGGAAGUUUCAGAACCAAGGGGCCUUUUGAGACCCCUAGUGAGAGCUGGGUGUGUGUGGGCAGGGCAAGUGAAGUCUGAAAUGAGUGGAGCUGAAGUUAGGCGGGAGAACAUUCGACCUAUCACCUGAUGUGCGAGGUUGUGAGUGGGUGAUUCAGUUCCCACAGAAGCUCUGGUCAGAAAGAAAGGUCUUUGCUUUCAGAAAUAUACUCCACAUUGCAGAGGAUUUGAUCGCAAACACACCACACUACCCUCUGUGCACUUUCCUCUUUCAAUGAGAAUCAUGGCAAAAUAAAACUUAGCAGAGUUCCUGGGUUUGCAGAGCACCUGCAUAAAAGCACAUCUCUCUCUGAAUAAAACAUGCACACACAUCCUAAGGCACUUGAUCCCUUUCUUUUUUCUUUUCUUUUCUUUUUUUUGAGAUGGAGUCUCGCUCUGUCACCCAGGCUGGAGUGCAAUGGUGCAAUCUUGGCUCACUGCAACCUCCACCUCCUGGGCUCAAGUGAUUCUCCUGCCUUAGCCUCCUGCGUAGCUGGGAUUACAGGUGCCCACCACCAAGCCUGGCUAAUUUUUGUAUUUUUAGUAGAUGCAGGGUUUUGCCAUGUUGACCAGGCUGGCCUCAAACUCCUGAUUUCAGGCAAUCUGCCCACCUCAGCCUCCCAAAGUGCUGGGAUUACAGGCGUGAGCCGCCGCGCCUGUCCCCGAUCCCUUUUAGAGUGUGUGUUGCAUCUUGUCUUGACACAAUCUGGUAGCUCCAGACAACAGAAAACACAAGACUGCCCCAGUGCAGUGAAACAGUCUGGAGACACGGGGAGAACUUCUAUGGUAGAUCCAUCAGUAACUCAAGGUAUUGGGUGGGAGAGAAAUUCGAUUCCAUAACUAUGUAGCUCAAUCCAGUGUAGUAACAGAUGAAAAAAUGCAUCUGAAUGCAUCUGUUGCAUAUUCUUUUGUUUCACAUCACUUCUGUGUAUAAAUGUGUGUGUGUGUAUAUAUAUAUAUAUAUAUAUAUAUAUAUAUAUAUAUAUAAAUUUUUUUUUAAAUGGAGUCUUGCUCUGUCACCAGGCUGGAGUGCAAUGGCAUGAUCUCAGCCCACUGCAACCUCUGCCUCCCGGGUUCAAGUGAUUCUCUUGCCUCAGCCUCCUGAGUAGCUGAGAUUACAGGCGCGCACCACCAUGCCCAGCCUAAUUUGUGUAUUUUUAGUAGAGAUGGGGUUUUAUUCUGUUGGCCAGGAUGGUCUCGAUCUCUUAACCUCAUGAUCGACCUGCCUCGGCCUCCCAAAGUGCUGGGACUACAGGCGUGAGCCACCGUGCCCGGCUAAUUCUGUAUAUAUAUGUAUAUAUAUUUUUUCAGAAUGAUUGACUAUUCCAGAAUUAAAUGUGAUGAGAAGUAUCCUUGUAGAAGCCAAAAGAAUAAGCUGAAAGGCGUAAGGCUUUAAAAUAUCAAAAUCCCUCUUCAUAUAUCACGAUAGAAACAAAAACUCUGAUAGUCAGAAUCAUGAACGAAACUGUUUUAAUCCACCAAUAAUAAUGAAUUUCAAUUACCCAUGUUUUGGAGUAAAAUCGAAUUAUCUUUCUAUUCUCUUUACAGGAAAAAAUUAUAAUUAUAAAAGUAUUGUCAUGUUAGGAGGUGGUAAAACAGUAUGUAACCCAAAACAGAGAAAAAUGGUAUUAUAGAAAUGGGUCAGGUAGUUAAGAAAUAAAAACAUCAGCACUUUCCUGUGUUUUGUGGUGUUUGCAAUAUUUGUGAGCUUUGUAACAUUCGACUUGUGAUUUUUUUCCUUCUCAUUCUAGUAAAUAUUCAGGUUGGUGUCUAGUUUUGUAGUUGCAAUUUUGUCUUCUUUUUCUUUUUCUUUUCUUUUCUUUUUCUUUUUCUUUCUUCUUUUUUUUUUUUUUUUGAGAGAGAGUCUCGCUCUGUUACCCAGGCUGGAGUGCAGUGGCGCGAUCUCGGCUCACUGCAACCUCCGCCUCCCGGGUUCAAGUAAUUCUCCUGCCUCAGUCUCCUAAGUAGCUGGGAUUACAGGCGUGUGCCGCCACGUCUGGCUAAUUGUUUUUGUAUGUUUAGUAGGGACAGGGUUUCACCUUGUUGGUCAGGCUAGUCUCGAACUCCUGACCUCAUGAUCCACCUGCAUCAGCCUCCCAAAGUGCUGGGAUUACAGGCAUGAGCCACUACACCCGGCCUUAUUUUUCUUAAAGAGCCCCUGUCCAGUUGUGUAAGCUCCAGGCUCCUUGGCGCCUGGCUUCACCCCACCCUCUCAGCAUCCCCUGCCCAGGGAAUCCACUUUACUGGAGUUGGGGGUAGAUUCCAAC
rnacentral:lncRNA from 1 species